AAGAAAGUUUUAAUGGUGUGGUUAGCUAGAUUAUUUUACUCUAUUAAAUAACUUAAUUGUUGAGUAAACUUGAAUGCUUAAAAAAACUAGAUUAAGUUUUUAAUUCUACUUAAUUAUCAACUGCUUUUAACGCAAAAAACUUAUUUGGAUUUGAGAAAAGGGAACAACAUUCUCAGAGUUUUUCUUCUUUAACUCUAAAAAUUAAAAAUAAUAAUAUCAGUGGUUUUUAUAAAUAAAUUUCUAUAGUUAAAAAGGCUGAAAGGAAAAAAUACGAUGAUUUGUUUCAAGAAAGAAAGUGACUUACUUCAAAAUGUCAUUUUAAAAUUUUUAUUCUUUAAUGAUAUUCUGGUGUUAUUACCAAAUGUUUAGCAGUAUGAAACCUAUAAUAUUAUAUACCAUACUAUAUACCCUAUUUUACUUAUAAAGUUAAUAAUCUGUAAAGUAAUUUGUAAAAAUUUUUUAAUUGUAAAAUUGCUACAUAAGAAGACAAGUUGUUAGAUGAAAUUCAAAUAUUUUCUAUGUUUGUGUUGUGUAGGUCAAAAAAUAAAAAACAAAGAUGACCAAGAGAUUCAUUUUAAGACACAUCAAUCUUCAUCAUCUUUAAAUAAAAAGGAUAAACAUUAUGGAUUUCCAUUAUCUCGAGCAAAAACAAAGAGUUCAAAAUAUUGGUGGUAAGAACUGUCAAAACUUGAGAUAGCUAUGAUGAAGAGUUUUAUGACAAAUUCACUCAUGGCCAAAUCUAAUAUGGCAGCUGGAAAAGGCAAAGAAUCUUUUUAGUCUAACCAAGUUAUACAACUUAAUAAAAGUAAAGAAAAGAAAAAUCAAAGAAGAAGUUAAAAUGGUCAAAGCUGUUCUUGUUAAGCACCUUGGAGAGCGAAAAAUUGUUAUUGCUAAUAAUAGCAGUAUUAUUGAUUUUUUGAAUAAUAGUAUGCAUAUUUAUUUUUAAAAAUUUCAGAAAUUUACAUUUAAUAAUGUUUACUGAUUGUUGUUAAGAAUUAUUGUUAUUAAAUAAUAUUGCCUAAGUAAA